rnacentral:lncRNA from 1 species
GGCCCGAAGAGAAAAUGAUAUUGGGUGCACAGUCAAAGGAGUCUCAUUCCUUCUCACUGUUGAGAGAUUAGGGUAGAUUUGGGGCAGCCAUUUGAAGGAGUUGCUCCACAUCAUUCAUUCAACAAGGAUCAAGCUCUGUGGAUGAUUAUGGAAAGAAAAGAUAUGGACAACAUUUCUAAACUUUAGGCCAAUCGACAGUCUGUGGAGAUAAGAGUUCUCAGUCAUAUUGUUGCAAGAAU